UCCGUUGGCCAUGGCCGGAGAGGCAGCUUGCGAGGCUUUCGCUCACUGAGGGAUCCGUGAUCCGCCCUUUCCUCCCCGCAAGAGCCCUUGAGACGACCCCUUCAAAGGCUAAGCCCCCCCAAACUUGGGAACUGAGCUCACAGCACGGGGAAGCACCCACCCCCUCCCUCAGUAGAGCCCCAGAUGUCCGGCCUCUGCUACCAGGCACCGCCCAGCAUUUGACCUUGGUACAUCACCUUCCCUUCCCUUCCCCCGAGCCGAGCCUCCGUUUCUCCACCUGUAGCUACUAGCAGAGCCUGGAAUAGGUGUGUGCCCAAGUUCCAACCCGCUGUAAGAUUCUGUGGCUCAGUUUCCAUUCACAUCUCUUCUCCCCUGCCCCCACUCCUGGAGGUCACAUCUCCUUGUCCAAGGGCAAAGGUCUUUGGAAGGAACUACUGGACCCCAAUUUGACUCUCUGGGGUCUCGCUGAAACUGGGCACCUAGUGCAAGGCCAUGUACAUAAACAGCCCCUGGAUAACAUGCGUUGAGGCCACUUCCCAGAAUCCUCAGGAAAAUGAGGAUUUGGACGCAGACACACUCAGGGAGAACGCCAUGUGAAGACUGCAGUUAUGCCGCCACAAGCCAAGGAACUCCCAGGAGCUGGGAGAGAGGCCUGGACCAGAUCCUCCCCGAGCGCCCUCAGAGGGAGCGUGGCCCUGCCAACAGCUUGAUCUCAGACUUCCGGGCUCCAGAAUUGUGAGAUAAUAAAUGCCUGUCGUUUAAGCCACUCGGCUUGUGGAACUUUGUUACGGCAGCCCCACGCACUCACACACCAUCCCAAUCUUCUGUCGCACUAAGCCAGGGAAUUCCAAGUCUCACCCUGGAGUGUGGUUUGGACCGGACCUUCACUUCCUCCGAGAUAAGCAAGAGCCUUGGGGCUCUUCCCAGUGGCAAGCUCGUGGAGGGCUUUCUGGUCUUCAGUCUGCCUCCCACAUCUGGGUCCAGCUCAUGGCCCCAGUCCUGCUCUUCUACCCCCAUAAAGUCAGACAGCAGCUACUUUAAUACCAAGACAGCCUGAGGCGGGUCUUGCCAACCUGGGACCUCGUGUACGGAGCCCUAGACACUGAUGCCUUAUGGGAACCACUCUGCUCAUCCUCUCAGGCCCUGCCCCUCCCCAGGGAGCAUGGUGAGCACAGGUCCUAGUCUUCUUGGACCCUCCGACUGGGGACUCUCCCACCCUACCCACAGUCAGCAGCUUCGGUCUCUAGCCUUGCAAGCCCCUUUCUCUAUCUUCUAGCCUCUGCAAGGAUGAAGUGCAAUCUCCCCUCAAAGAAUCUGUAGGCACCCGAGUUCAUCUCUCCUUUCAGGGUGGAGGUGGAAGGGAUGCUGACAACCACCAGUUGUUCCGUCCCAGCUCAUCCCAUUAGACAGCAGGGUUCACGUAUGCCUUCACUAUUCCCACUCAGGCCUCCUGGCAUCCUGGAGGCUUUUCCACUGUGUCCUCCUGCCUCCAGCGCACCUGUGAUUGUCAGUCCCAAUAAGAGUGUUCCCAAUGGGGUCUUCAUUCCUGUAACAAGAGUGCUU